UAGCUCCACUAUACUCCUGAACAGGUGCGCGCUGUGCAGCGCGAAACACUGGUAAGCUUUAAAUAUUGUAUUAAUAUUGUUUCUUCUUUUCAGACCAGUGUUCUGUGGCUGCAGGGCAGAGUCUGCUGACGGUGUCUCUGCUUAUCGGCGGCUUCAUGCGUCUGUAGCGUCGGACAGCCGAGGUAACCACAAUGUUUGUUUAUGUUUAUUGUUAUCGUUCUGUUGCUUGUUUGUGGUUAAACAUUUCUUUGUUUCAUUACAGUUUUGCCUCUGUUGCCUUGUCUUUUUGCUUGUUUAUUUUGUUGUUUCUUUCUUUUAGUUUGUAGUUGUUUUGGCUGGUUUUGUAUCAGUUUGCUUGGUUCGAGUUUAGUUUAGUUUCUCCCCAUGUGUGUUUAUCUUUAGAUUGUUGUGGCUGUGUUCUCUGGCUCAGUAGUCAGGUUUCUCCCCUCCAUAGCUGCGUAGGGCCUGUGUGACUUCCAGUUUUAAUAACUGCGUUUAUAUUAACAUUAGUGUGUUGUGUGCUGAACAUAGUUUUUGUAUAAGAAUGAAAUUGUAUUUGUUUUUCUAUACACGCUGCUGUCUUCAUUUGUGCAUGUACCUGUGUUUAGUAGGGGAAGCCCUCUGUUGAGAGGCAGGAUUGUUAAUGUUCUUAAGGUGGAGAUCAAAUUGCGCUGUAUGUCCCCCCUAAACUAAAAUGCAUUUGACACCCCUGUCUGAAGUUACCCUACACCAUCAUUUUAAACCUACAUCUGUUAUUAUCUAGCAAACUGACAUGCUCUUACUGUGUACUGCAACCUGGAUGUUAAUUUCUCUGAUGAUGGCUCCCUUAUCAUCUUCAUAAUGUUCCAUCUGAUGGGUUUGUUCUCCUGCUGAGAUGAACAUUGAUCUGGUUUUUGGUUCUUUUUGCAACAAUUGCAUCUUCUUUUUGACAGUUCUGGACUGCUGAUGCGCUCCAUGUACACAGGUAAUGCAAAAAUCUUUGAAGCUUGGUUUGGGCUAAUGCUGAUGAGAUGUUGUUAAAGUCUGUAACUAGAACAGCUGUGUCUCAACUCAACAUCAAUGUUUUUUCAAUAAAGCACAGAUUUCAUUGUUUCCUUUAAUGAAUACUCACCAGGUGUUGAGCUGAAUCUCAGGAUGUGGGACUAAAUACUACACUUCCCAGAACGCACCGGUAGCAGCAGAGAGGUGCUUGACACCUGAUCAGUGAUCACUGAUUUAGAGCACCUGGGAAGGACUGGGGGGAACUCAGUCAUUCAGACCAACACUCUUCAGAGGAAAAAGGAACAAGGAAAGAACAAAGGAGAUUCUAGUCCACUCGUGGAUUCAGUCCAAAGAUGCCAAUGGUUUACAACCUACUGCAAUAACACGACCAACCAACUACAAGGAAAAUAAAAGUUUGAGUUGGAAACUUGAA